CUUGAUGGGGGGAUUAGUGGCGACGGGUGAGUACACGUGAGUACCUGCCCUUACUCUGGGAUAAGCCUGGGAAACUGGGUCUAAUACCGGAUAUGACUCCUCAUCGCAUGGUGGGGGGUGGAAAGCUUUUUGUGGUUUUGGAUGGACUCGCGGCCUAUCAGCUUGUUGGUGAGGUAAUGGCUUACCAAGGCGACGACGGGUAGCCGGCCUGAGAGGGUGACCGGCCACACUGGGACUGAGACACGGCCCAUACUCCUACGGGAGGCAGCAGUGGGGAAUAUUGCACAAUGGGCGCAAGCCUGAUGCANCGACGCCNCGUGAGGGAUGACGGCCUUCGGGUUGUAAACCUCUUUCAGUANGGAAGAAGCGAAAGUGACGGUACCUGCAGAAGAAGCGCCGGCUAACUACGUGCCAGCAGCCGCGGUAAUACGUAGGGCGC
rnacentral:rRNA from 1 species